rnacentral:rRNA from 1 species
CUGGCUGGUCGAAGAUACCAGGCCGCUGCGACUGUUUAUUAAAAACACAGCACUCUGCAAACACGAAAGUGGACGUAUAGGGUGUGACGCCUGCCCGGUGCCGGAAGGUUAAUUGAUGGGGUUAGCGCAAGCGAAGCUCUUGAUCGAAGCCCCGGUAAACGGCGGCCGUAACUAUAACGGUCCUAAGGUAGCGAAAUUCCUUGUCGGGUAAGUUCCGACCUGCACGAAUGGCGUAACGAUGGCGGCGCUGUCUCCACCCGAGACUCAGUGAAAUUGAAAUCGCUGUGAAGAUGCAGUGUAUCCGCGGCUAGACGGAAAGACCCCGUGAACCUUUACUGUAGCUUUGCACUGGACUUUGAGCCUGCUUGUGUAGGAUAGGUGGGAGGCUUUGAAGCGUGGACGCCAGUUCGCGUGGAGCCAUCCUUGAAAUACCACCCUGGCAUGCUUGAGGUUCUAACUCUGGUCCGUAAUCCGGAUCGAGGACAGUGUAUGGUGGGCAGUUUGACUGGGGCGGUCUCCUCCUAAAGAGUAACGGAGGAGUACGAAGGUGCGCUCAGACCGGUCGGAAAUCGGUCGCAGAGUAUAAAGGCAAAAGCGCGCUUGACUGCGAGACAGACACGUCGAGCAGGUACGAAAGUAGGUCUUAGUGAUCCGGUGGUUCUGUAUGGAAGGGCCAUCGCUCAACGGAUAAAAGGUACUCCGGGGAUAACAGGCUGAUACCGCCCAAGAGUUCAUAUCGACGGCGGUGUUUGGCACCUCGAUGUCGGCUCAUCACAUCCUGGGGCUGAAGCCGGUCCCAAGGGUAUGGCUGUUCGCCAUUUAAAGUGGUACGCGAGCUGGGUUUAGAACGUCGUGAGACAGUUCGGUCCCUAUCUGCCGUGGACGUUUGAGAUUUGAGAGGGGCUGCUCCUAGUACGAGAGGACCGGAGUGGACGAACCUCUGGUGUUCCGGUUGUCACGCCAGUGGCAUUGCCGGGUAGCUAUGUUCGGAAAAGAUAACCGCUGAAAGCAUCUAAGCGGGAAACUUGCCUCAAGAUGAGAUCUCACUGGGAACUUGAUUCCCCUGAAGGGCCGUCGAAGACUACGACGUUGAUAGGCUGGGUGUGUAAGCGUUGU